rnacentral:miRNA from 1 species
AUGCUGCUGCUGUUGUUU